rnacentral:misc_RNA from 1 species
GCAAAGAUGGACUUCCUGAUGUGGGUGAGCAAACCGUGCCUUUUUUCAUCAAUUAUUUAAUUUUACAUUCGUGUCUUCAAUGUGACUAUGUCAAUGUGAGGACAUAUGGGUUGUUUCAUGCUUGGUAUGUUUGGGAAACAAAAUAACAAUAGGAAACAAAAUAACGAUACUACUUUGUCCUAAUUUCCUUGCUUUGUGCCUUUGAGCAAUUUGUCAUGCAAGUCUAAGCUGGAAAUGGGUAGGAAAGACCCAUCAAUUGACAUCACAAGUUAGAAUGUUGGUAUUUAGUUUGAAAUGAUACUACUAAAAGUCAAAUGAGUUGCUGUUUGGAGAACAAAAUGUUCACUAUAUGUUAACAGAAUGUCACCCAUGUUUCAACUCAAUAGCUGAACGUUAAUGCAGCUUAUAAGUGUCUCCUACAUGAAAAGACUACUGUUGUAUUUGAAUGCUAGCUUGCUGACUUACUCUUCAUGUGAAAGGGUUGGUUUGAUUAUUUAUGGUAACAGUUUGAAUUUCACCUCCGGGUUAUUUAGGCAAACAAAUACCGGAUUCAAAUUUGUACCCAUAUUUGGGUUAUCUAUGGAUAUCUUUUUUUCCUUGAAGCAUGAGCAGUUUAUUUUUCAUAGUUUCAAAUGCCACACUUUUAUCAAAUAUCUGAAUUUGUUCUUGUUGGUUUGGACACCUGGAAAGGUUAGUUUUACUUAGAUCUUCCCAUCCAACUGUUGGUGCAAAGAAGUGUUACAAUCUAUUAUCUUGAGUAUCCUAUGUUCAAUGAGAUCUCUGUGGAAUAUGGUCCUAUAAUUAGAACGAAACCAAAGUUCCAUUCAGGUUAAAAUGUCUUUAUUUUUAAGGUUUGCCCCAUACAUAUAUAAUGUAUCAGUUUGAGUUUGGUCGACUAUGGCUGCUGAUGAUGAAUUACUUGAAUAUGUGGUGUAGAACCUAGAACAGUAGAAUAACAGAAAUAAACUCUCAAAUCUGUUUAAUUCUCCGUUGUGAAUAAUAAGCUCUCAAGUAAAAUACCUAAAUUACAUAGGAAUUUGUAGACUAAUAAGUAAUCCUACAGGCUAUUACGAUUAGGAAUCUCGAAAUAAGAAAAUACUAAACCAAUCUAACUAGGAAUAUCAAAUCAACACUAACUAGGAAAUUCUAAAUGAUGGAAUUCCUAAAUAAUUAAAAUAAUACUUCCUACUUAAAUUUCCUAAAUAUUAGAAACCUAUACAUCCUAAAUUUACUAGAAAAUUUGAAUUAAAGAUCUUAAUUACAAUGAAAAAUUAAAUUAAAAUAAU